UACAGAGGUCUCAAGCGUUGUUCGGAUUCAUUGGGCGUAAAGGGUGCGUAGGCGGCGCGGUAAGUCGGAUGUGAAAUCUUGGAGCUUAACUCCGAAACUGCAUUCGAUACUGCCGUGCUUGAGGACUGGAGAGGAGACUGGAAUUUACGGUGUAGCGGUGAAAUGCGUAGAUAUCGUAAGGAAGACCAGUGGCGAAGGCGGGUCUCGUGGACAGUUCCUGACGCUGAGGCACGAAGGCCAGGGGAGCAAACGGG
rnacentral:rRNA from 1 species